ACUGGACUGAUUACGCCAGCUUGCAUGCCUGCAGGUCGACGAUUAGAGUUUGAUCCUGGCUCAGGAUGAACGCUGGCGGCACGCCUAAUACAUGCAAGUCGAACGAGUGAAACUAGAAAGAAGUGCUUGCACUUUGGACUAAUGGAUCUAGUGGCGAACGGGUGAGUAACACGUAGGUAACCUACCUCAAAGACUGGGAUAACGAUUGGAAACGAUUGCUAAUACCGGAUAGUUCACGUUCAGGCAUCUGGAUGUGAUUAAAGGAGCUAAGGCUUCACUGUGAGAUGGACCUGCGGUGCAUUAGUUAGUUGGUAAGGUAACGGCUUACCAAGACGAUGAUGCAUAGCCGACCUGAGAGGGUGAGCGGCCACAUUGGGACUGAGACACGGCCCAAACUCCUACGGGAGGCAGCAGUAGGGAAUUUUCGUCAAUGGGGGAAACCCUGAACGAGCAAUGCCGCGUGAGUGAUGACGGCCUUCGGGUUGUAAAGCUCUGUUGUAAAGGAAGAAUGUGCACUAUAGGGAAUGAUAGUGUAAUGACGGUACUUUACCAGAAAGCCACGGCUAACUACGUGCCAGCAGCCGCGGUAAUACGUAGGUGGCAAGCGUUAUCCGGAAUUAUUGGGCGUAAAGGGAGCGUAGGCGGCAUCAUAAGUCUGAGGUAAAAGACAGUGGCUCAACCACUGCAAGCCUUGGAAACUGUGAAGCUAGAGUGCAGGAGAGGUAAAUGGAAUUCCAUGUGUAGCGGUAAAAUGCGUAGAUAUAUGGAGGAACACCAGUGGCGAAGGCGGUUUACUGGCCUGUAACUGACGCUGAGGCUCGAAAGCGUGGGGAGCAAAUAGGAUUAGAUACCCUAGUAGUCCACGCCGUAAACGAUGAGAACUAGGUGUUGGGGAAACUCAGUGCCGCAGUUAACGCAAUAAGUUCUCCGCCUGGGGAGUAUGCACGCAAGUGUGAAACUCAAAGGAAUUGACGGGGGCCCGCACAAGCGGUGGAGUAUGUGGUUUAAUUCGACGCAACGCGAAGAACCUUACCUGGCCUUGACAUCCCGAGUGAAGCUAUAGAGAUAUAGUGGAAGUUAUCUCGGAGACAGGUGGUGCAUGGUUGUCGUCAGCUCGUGUCGUGAGAUGUUGGGUUAAGUCCCGCAACGAGCGCAACCCUUGCCUUUAGUUACUAACAUUCAGUUGAGGACUCUAGAGGGACUGCCGGUGACAAACCGGAGGAAGGUGGGGAUGACGUCAAAUCAUCAUGCCCCUUAUGGCCUGGGCUACACACGUACUACAAUGGCAGUUACAAAGAGCAGCGAACUCGCGAGAGUAAGCGAAUCUCAUAAAGGCUGUCUCAGUUCGGAUUGGAGUCUGCAACUCGACUCCAUGAAGUCGGAAUCGCUAGUAAUCGUAGAUCAGCAUGCUACGGUGAAUACGUUCUCGGGCCUUGUACACACCGCCCGUCAAACCACGGGAGUUGGUAAUACCCGAAGCCGGUGGCAUAACCUGUAAAGGAGUGAGCCGUCGAAGGUAGGACCGAUGACUGGGGUUAAGUCGUAACAAGGCCGUAA
rnacentral:rRNA from 1 species